rnacentral:lncRNA from 10 species
CUCCCAAAGUGCUGGGACUACAGGCAUGAGCCACCGCGCCCGGCCGACGACCAUAUUUCAAAUUUUAACUUCCUCUCGAUCCCCAUCUGUGUUGCUUUUUCUCCAUAGCAUUUAUCAUCAUCACACACUACAUAUUUAUAAGUUCCACGAGGACAGUGAUUUAUUUAUUUGAAAUCAUUUUUUGGUAGAAGCAGAGUUUCGCCAUGUUGCCCAGGCUGGUCUUGAACUCCUGCACUCAAGCAAUCCACCCUCCUUGGCCUCCCAAAGUGCUUGGGAUCACAAGUCUCAGCCAUC